rnacentral:rRNA from 1 species
CCAAUAGCGUAUAUUAAAGUUGUUGCAGUUAAAAAGCUCGUAGUUGAACUUCGGGAUCAAUAUGUCGGUCGUGCCAUCGGUAUGUACUGGCAUCAUUGGUUUCUACCUUCUGAAGAACCUCGAUGUCAUUAAUUUGGUGUCUUGGGGAAUUAGGACUGUUACUUUGAAAAAAUUAGAGUGUUUAAAGCAGGCUCGCGCUUGAAUACAUUAGCAUGGAAUAAUGAAAUAGGACGUUUGAUUCUAUUUUGUUGGUUUCUAGGAUCGACGUAAUGAUUAAUAGGGAUAGUUGGGGGCAUUAGUAUUCAAUUGUCAGAGGUGAAAUUCUUGGAUUUAUUGAAGACUAACUACUGCGAAAGCAUUUGCCAAGGAUGUUUUCAUUAAUCAAGAACGAAAGUUAGGGGAUCGAAGACGAUCAGAUACCGUCGUAGUCUUAACCAUAAACUAUGCCGACUAGGGAUCGGAUGAUGUUGAUUUUUUAAUGACUCAUUCGGCGCCUUACG